rnacentral:lncRNA from 1 species
GCAAAUACAAUGAUAGUCCAGAAAUCUCAAAGAAGCAAUGCAAUAUCGCUAAUGACCAACCAAGUUAUUUAAGCUAACAUGGCAACUAAAGCAACAAGACCAAACAUAUUAGACAACAUUAAAACAAAAUAAAAUAAAAUACUAGACACCAACACUAUUACACACAACUAUCUGAUAGGUUCAUGCUAUGCCUCGGUUGCUCCAUAAGGAGUUGUUCCAUGGUUGGUUUCAGAUCUGGCAGCAAAGAGACGUUGCAAUGGAUGAGUGUGGUUGUGGCAGCGGAAGAAGGUGAUUUAGAAUGGUUUAGUGGAAGGGAUGAGGCUUUGUAUGGUGUGGCUACAACUCAGACAGCCCUCACNCAUGGAAGGAAGUUGUAGGGAGUAAACAAAGCACCGAAGGACUCUUGGAAAGGAGAAUGACAAUGCAUUUGAGCAUAGUUUUCUUACUAUCAUCCAAAAGUAUCAUACAAUGCUAUGCCAAGAGGUUUUUAUAGAUGAACCUCUCGGCCUCACAAAAGGAAUUCUCAGAUUCACUAAUUCAACAUGUGUUAAAGAUGUUUGGCUUCUAGAAAGCCUUAUGAAGCACGUGAGAAAUGAGUUUACAUGUGGGGGAAAUUCAAUUACUAAUGCCGCCCCAUAGAAAGCUAAGCACACCCCCCCUAUGUGUAGAAAUGGCCUUUUUACCCUUCUCCAUGUCUUGGUAGAUUUGCAACAUCUUCUUGUUCUCCAAUUUCCCAUCCAAAAAUAGCAAAUAGUAUUUGACCUUGGGGAGAAUACUCAUCUUGGAGCUUUUUGGCCAUCCCUCUUGUGAUGGGUCCUAUAGUGCUAGACCUUCUUGUAUCA